UACGGGGGGGGCAAGCGUUGUUCGGAAUUACUGGGCGUAAAGCGUGCGCAGGCGGUUGUGCAAGACCGAUGUGAAAUCCCCGGGCUUAACCUGGGAAUGGCAUUGGUGACUGCACGGCUAGAGUGUGUCAGAGGGGGGUAGAAUUCCACGUGUAGCAGUGAAAUGCGUAGAGAUGUGGAGGAAUACCGAUGGCGAAGGCAGCCCCCUGGGAUAACACUGACGCUCUGCACGAAAGCGUGGGGAGCAAACAGG
rnacentral:rRNA from 1 species